AUUCACAUGUCUGAAAGUGCGUUCCCUCCUCACCUGCUGCUGCUACCCUCUGACUGCUUUCCCUUCAGCUUACUCCCAGACCUCUCAAUCCAGUGAUUAAGUUAUCUUACUUGACACCUCAGUGGUAUUUGACACUAUUUACACCAAUGAUAAUUGCUUCCUUCCUGAAGCUCUUCCCUUGGAUUCUGAGAGAGCUUUUCUGGGAAUAAUAGUUCUUUCACUGUCCUCAGAUCUUCUUCCGUCACAGCCUGUAAUGGCAAGGUUGAACAGAAUAUUACUUUCAGCCCCCUUCUCUUAGCCAUUCUCACAGCUACCGCUCCCACCUCCUUUCUGGUCCGGAUCUCUGUAUUGAAUUCCUUCCAGAUCAACGAGUUAAACUCCUUACGGGAUAUUGCCACAGGACUUCAAACUUGGCACAUCUGGAGUUCAGUUGCCAGCCACCCUGCUCAAGUGGAUCUCUCCUCAUUCCUGCCUUUUAAUUAUUGGCAUUCCUGUUUAAUCAAGCUAAAACACGAAAGAAUCAUCUUUGAUUUCUCCUUAUGUCACGUGGUGUAACAAGGCUUUUGUCAAAAAUGAAUCUUGCCUCAUUCCUCUGCUUUGCCUCUCCCUAAAGGUUGGGAGCUCAUCUGCUGCCUGGACUAUUGCAGUUAACUCCUAACUGGUCAUUCCUACUCACUCUUCUCAGCAAACUACCUGGCAGCUGCAAUCCAAGUGAUUUUUUAAAACUCAGAUGUGAUCAUGUUACUCAUCCUGCUUCUUUUCCUCCUGUACUUUGCUAGGCGACCCCCACUACCCCACCACCCCCCGCAUUGUUUAGGAUAAAGUCUUCAUGGCGGGUGCCUGUAGUCCCAGCUACUUGAGAGGCUGAGGCAGGAGAAUGGUAUGAACCCAGGAGNNNNNNNNNNGAGACUCCAUCUCAAAAACAAACAAACAAACAAAAACUCCUAGUGGUUUUUAUCUGUAACGUUCUUAUAUCCAGGGCCUCUAUGGGCUGGUGUUCAGGUUCUAUACUGCAUAAGGAUUCCAUAUCUAAGGGACCACCUUCCACAUUGUAGACACAGCCUAGACUCCUAUUAAUAAUGGGUUACAAAUGUAUCUUUAGUGUCCUUAAAUUUUUCCUGAAUAUUUACACUUUUAUUUGUAAAGUGGAUUGAGGAAAGAAGUUCUGUAACAGCAUUGUCAUGGUCUUCAGAAAUAUUGC
rnacentral:lncRNA from 1 species